ACAGUCUGAAAAUUACCCCAGAUAUGUCAGUUGUCUAGGGUAAGAUAACUGUGCCUACAGGAUUGCGGUACAUUAAGCUUAUUGCAUGCUUUUGUAGUAGUGCAAUGAAACCCAUGUACCUACAGUU